GCUGGAGGCCGGACGGGAGGAUGGGGGGCAUUCAGUCUCCUCCGGGCUGCGCCGGUUUCCAACCUCACAGAAAACUUCCCGCUCUUGAAUUCCAUUGCCACAUGACGCUGAGCACUGAAACAGAACAGGGCAGAAGCUGCACACAACAGAAAUACAUCUGGAGGAAAAUCCCAACAUUGGGGAGCAGGUCUCGAACCCUCGACCUUCUAGCCCGAGGUCCGGCGCUCUAUCGACUGUGCUGCAAAAGCAUGCUCCAGCGGCAGAGUCGAUUUCCACGCUUAUAAACCCAGGGUCGUUACAAUACUGUUAAUCCUGAUACUGUUUGUGCUUACAUUUGAAUUGGUUUUGUGCACCAACAUUAAUGGCAAACAGUGCAUUUUCCUAAGGGAGCUUUUAUGUUGUAAAGGCACAUGAAGAUCAUUAUUACACAUGCCUUAAUUGAUUAUAAAGUGUCUUAAUUGAUUAUGUGUUUUUGAGUGAGUAUUUGUGUGUGAGUUUGUCUAUCUGUUAAUGUGUAUAUUAUUGUGUGUGUGUGUGUCGUGUGUGAGUGAGUUUGUCUAUCUGUUCAUGUGUAUAUUAUUGUGUGUGUGUGUGAGUUUGUCUAUCUGUUAAUGUGUAUAUUAUUGUGUGUGUGUG